ACGUCUUUUUCCCGCGUUGUCUGGAAUUAUUGGGCGUAAAGCGCGCGCAGGCGGAUCAGUCAGUCUGUCUUCAAAGUUCGGGGCUUAACCCCGUGAGGGGAUGGAAACUGCUGAUCUAGAGUAUCGGAGAGGAAAGUGGAAUUCCUAGUGUAGCGGUUAAAUGCGUAGAUAUUAGGAAGAACACCAGUGGCGAAGGCGACUUUCUGGACGAAAACUGACGCUGAGGCGCGAAAGCCAGGGGAGCUAACGG
rnacentral:rRNA from 1 species